GGCGCGGGUGGAGCAGCUCGGUAGCUCGCUGGGCUCAUAACCCAGAGGUCGCAGGUUCAAAUCCUGUCCCCGCUA
rnacentral:tRNA from 1 species